rnacentral:misc_RNA from 1 species
CAACUUCCACCUGGCAUACCUCUUCAGUUAUAUCUCAAGUCUUGUAUUUACUUGGAAUUUGUUUUGGGUUUCUUGUGUUUUGUACCUGAAUGAUGGCAUUUUCUUUGCUCGACUAAAGUCCCUUUUUGUUUUGUGUUGCCUUUGUGACGCUAUAUGAACGUUUUAGUUGUUUCUGUGUUCCAUUUUGUUUAUGCAAGUGAUACUCUCUGUUGCAUUUGUAUCUAUUGUUUGGCCCAUUGAGAUUUGCUUGGUCCCUUGAAUACAGAUCAUGACGUGGCUUUAAGUUCUUUAUUGAUCUUUGUUUUGCCUUUUCUGGCUGUUCUCCAAACGACAGAUCAUGUGCGUCUAGGCUUGUACCUUCGUGAUGAUCAUUGUCAAAGAGGAAUGCUACCUGGUUGAUCCUGC